AAAAUGCGUGCGGGUCACGAGCUUUAGUAAGGCCUGGGUUUGGGCUUUCCAGAGAAGCCUGUGGUGCUGCUGGAGCCCCUGGAUGUUUCCGUCAGGUUGGGCGAGUCAGCGCAGUUCUUCUGCCAGGCUCAGGGAGACCCUGUGCCCACCAUGGAGUGGAGCCGAGCGCAGGGGCCGCUGCCCAACGGCAGGUAUUUGGUUAAUCCAGACCACAGUCUUCAGAUCCACUAUGUGACGUUUCAGGACGCAGGCAGGUACACCUGCACUGCGGCCAAUGCCGUAGGUGUUGCGACAGCCAGUGCUCAGCUGUUUGUGGAAGAUGGAACCAGCAGCAGCCAGAGGGACCUGCAUAGGGAGUUGUCUGCUCUGCGCAUCACCCUGGAGAACGUCACUGUUCUGAGAACUGCCACCAACCUGUCCCAAGUCAUAUGGAAGCUUCAGUCUUCGUCCCCCCAGCUGCACUACCUGGAGGGGUUCGAGGUGCUCUACCGUUCCCUGCUGCCUGCCAGUUCAGACUGGGCUGCUCACAAAGUGACCGGGCCCGCCCUGCAGGCCAGCGUUGGACCCCUGAAGAGGGGCUACAUGUAUGAGUUUAAAGUGCGGCCCUACGGGAGUGAUCUGUACGGCAGAGAGAGCAACACUCGGCACCUGAGAGUGCCAGAG
ensembl:lncRNA